rnacentral:rRNA from 1 species
CAGCAGCCGCGGUAAUACGAAGGUCCCAAGCGUUGUUCGGAAUCACUGGGCGUAAAGGGAGCGUAGGCGGCGUGGUAAGUCAGAUGUGAAUCCCGGGGCUCAACCCCGGAACUGCAUUUGAUACUGCCAUGCUUGAGGGUUGGAGAGGUAGCUGGAAUUCUUGGUGUAGCAGUGAAAUGCGUGGAUAUCAAGAGGAACACUCGUGGCGAAGGCGAGCUACUGGACAACAUCUGACGCUGAGGCUCGAAGGCCAGGGUAGCGAAAGGGAUUAGAUACCCCCGUAGUCCCUGUCUCUUAUACA